rnacentral:rRNA from 1 species
GACGAACGCUGGCGGCGUGCUUAACACAUGCAAGUCGAACGGAGUGGCGAACGGGUGAGUAACACGUGGGUGACCUGCCCUGCACUUCGGGAUAAGCCUGGGAAACUGGGUCUAAUACCGGAUAGUGGGGGAUGGGCCCGCGGACGAUCAGCUUGUUGGUGGGGUAAUGGCCUACCAAGGCGGCGACGGGUAGCCGGCCUGAGAGGGUGGACGGCCAGAUUGGGACUGGAAUACUGCCCGGGGUCCUACGGGAGGCUGCUGUAGGGUAUGAUGAACAAUGGGCGGAAGCCUCAUGCAGCGACACCGCGUGGGGGGGGACGGCCUUCGGGUUGUAGACUGCUUUCUCCGUCCGCGCGGUAGAUGGAGAAGAAGCACCGGCUAACUACGUGCCAGCAGCCGCGGUAAUUC